AUGAACGCUAGCUACAGGCUUAACACAUGGCAAGGUCGAGGGGAACGACAGAGGAAGCUUGCUUCCUUUGGGCGUCGACCGGCGAACGGGUGAGUAACGCGUGAAGAACCUGCCUUUCAGUGGGGGACAACAGUUGGAAACGACUGCUAAUACCGCAUGACACUUCUUAGGGGCAUCCCCGAGAAGUCAAAGCUUAAUGUGCUCAAAGAUGGGCUCGCGUCUGAUUAGAUAGUUGGUGAGGUAACGGCCCACCAAGUCGACGAUCAGUAGCCGGACUGAGAGGUUGAACGGCCACACUGGAACUGAGACACGGUCCAGACUCCUACGGGAGGCAGCAGUGGGGAAUCUUCCGCAAUGGGCGAAAGCCUGACGGAGCAACGCCGCGUGAGUGAUGACGGCCUUCGGGUUGUAAAGCUCUGUGAUCGGGGACGAACGGUCAGCAGACGAAUACUCUGCUGAAGUGACGGUACCCGAAUAGCAAGCCACGGCUAACUACGUG
rnacentral:rRNA from 1 species